GAUGAACGCUGGCGGCGUGCCUAAUACAUGCAAGUCGAGCGAACAGACGAGGAGCUUGCUCCUCUGACGUUAGCGGCGGGCGGGUGAGUAACACGUGGAUAACCUACCUAUAAGACUGGGAUAACUUCGGGAAACCGGAGCUAAUACCGGAUAAUAUAUUGAACCGCAUGGUUCAAUAGUGAAAGACGGUUUUGCUGUCACUUAUAGAUGGAUCCGCGCCGCAUUAGCUAGUUGGUAAGGUAACGGCUUACCAAGGCAACGAUGCGUAGCCGACCUGAGAGGGUGAUCGGCCACACUGGAACUGAGACACGGUCCAGACUCCUACGGGAGGCAGCAGUAGGGAAUCUUCCGCAAUGGGCGAAAGCCUGACGGAGCAACGCCGCGUGAGUGAUGAAGGGCUUCGGAUCGUAAAACUCUGUUAUUAGGGAAGAACAAAUGUGUAAGUAACUAUGCACGUCUUGACGGUACCUAAGCAGAAAGCCACGGCUAACUACGU
rnacentral:rRNA from 1 species